rnacentral:rRNA from 1 species
AGAAUCAACGCUGGCGGCGUGCCUAACACAUGCAAGUCGAACGAGAAAGGGGAGCAAUCCCUGAGUAAAGUGGCGCACGGGUGAGUAACACGUGACUAACCUACCCUGGAGUGGGGGAUAACUGAGGGAAACCUUAGCUAAUACCGCAUAAUACCUACGGGUCAAAGGAGCAAUUCGCUUCAGGAGGGGGUCGCGGCCGAUUAGUUAGUUGGCGGGGUAAUGGCCCACCAAGACGAUGAUCGGUAUCCGGCCUGAGAGGGCGCACGGACACACUGGAACUGAAACACGGUCCAGACUCCUACGGGAGGCAGCAGUGGGGAAUUUUGCGCAAUGGGGGAAACCCUGACGCAGCAACGCCGCGUGGAGGAUGAAGUACUUCGGUACGUAAACUCCUUUCGAUCGGGACGAUAAUGACGGUACCGGAAGAAGAAGCCCCGGCUAACUUCGCGCCAGCAGCCGC